UACAGGGGGUGCAAACGUUGCUCGGAAUCAUUGGGCGUAAAGCGCACGUAGGCGGUUCGUUAUGUCGGAUGUGAAAGCCCUUGGCUUAACCGAGGAAGUGCAUCCGAAACUGGCGAGCUAGAGUACGAAAGAGGAUCGCGGAAUUCCCGGUGUAGAGGUGAAAAUUCGUAGAUAUCGGGAGGAACACCGGUGGCGAAGGCGGCGAUCUGGGUCGAUACUGACGCUGAGGUGCGAAAGCGUGGGGAGCAAACAGGG
rnacentral:rRNA from 1 species